GUUAAAAAGCUCGUAGUUGGAUUUCUGCGCGGGUGGGGCGCCUCCCGGCCUCUGGCUUGGGUUGUGCAGCAACUCCCGCGCAUCCUGCCGCGAACCACGUUACCAUUCGUUUGGUGGCGUCUGGGGACCGGCUCGUUUACUUUGAGAAGAAUAGAGUGUUCAAAGCAGGCCUGAUGCCUUGAAUAAUGUAGCAUGGAAUAAUGAUAAAGGACUUUGGUUCUAUUUUGUUGGUGUUCGGGACCGAAGUAAUGAUUGAUAGGGACAGUUGGGGGCGUCUGUAUUCUGAAGCGAGAGGUGAAAU
rnacentral:rRNA from 1 species